ensembl:lncRNA
GCACAAUAAGAACCCAUUUAAUGUUUUAACAACACACGAGCCAUCAAAACGUAUUUUCUGCCCUCCUAUUCUUGUGUUGUUGAUCCGGAAGGCUCUCCGCGUGACUGAUGUCUUCAUGGCGCUGGCAGGCUGCCCACUGAUGCUUGAUCUUCCCUCUUCUCCACUUACAACACCGCUCGCUUGAUUCACGUGAUUAAUCUCUACCUCUCGUCUGCUACUGCUGCCACCGCUGGUAAUACUACCAGCGCACCACUACGGACCCUGUGCUGAUCUCGAGGGGCACUCCACGCUUUCAUUCAAUCUCAUGGCCCUUCAGGGCGGGGGUCUAUUUCGAGCUCUCGGGGCGGGCGGUCUUUCAUUAUAUUGUAGUACAAGUCGGCCCUCACCCGAAGAGGUCGCCGCAGCGUUCUGGACACGCUCUGUAACGGCGGGGUCGCGGGGUCCAGCCGCUGCUGUGACCGAUCUACUUCAAACCGGGGGUUGAAAAAGUAAAAGUCCUUGUGACUACUAUUUGCGGUCGGACCAUCUGGACGAUGCUAAUGAGCGCCAGGCAGCAGUGCGGGCUAAUGAGUGGCGCAUCAGCCGCAUCGGUGGAGCAAAACCGGGGCGGCGCUUUUAUUUUGGCGAGCUGAAAAGUCGUUUCCGCACCGCUGCCUGAAAACGGUGGCAGGCGGGCGGCACUGAUUCACAGACGGCCACUCUUGUCGUUUGUAGGGAGAGACCGGGGUACCGUUUGAAUAAACAUAUUAAAACAGGUAUAUGCGUGUAAAGAGAAGGACCACAGAUGUUGUAAUGUCUACCGGUGACUAAUGUGUACAUAUGUCACAGCACAAUUAAAGCCAAACGCAAAAAGCCAGCAUGAGAUCGCAUAUGCAUCCACAUAUCACAUCACAUUAUUAUUAUUAUGACAAAUCAGUUUCCACCGAGUCCUGCGUCCCUAGUUUUUCUGUGAACGGCAGUUAAAUUGUUACCCACUGUGACCAGGGACAGCAGACCCUUCACAAGGCUUUGCAGUUUGCCUUUCACAUAUCGCAUGCACCGAAGAAUGGAUUGUACAAAUGGUUGGCUGCACUGUCUUCAUACCCCCCCCC